GAAAUGCGAUAACUAGUGUGAAUUGCAGAAUUCCGUGAAUCAUCGAGUCUUUGAACGCACAUUGCGCCCCCUGGUAUUCCGGGGGGCAUGCCUGUCCGAGCGUCAUUGCUGCCCAUCAAGCACGGCUUGUGUGUUGGGUCGUCGUCCCCUCUCCGGGGGGGACGGGCCCCAAAGGCAGCGGCGGCACCGCGUCCGAUCCUCGAGCGUAUGGGGCUUUGUCACCCGCUCUGUAGGCCCGGCCGGCGCUUGCCGAACGCAAAUCAAUCUUUUUCCUGGUUGACCUCGGAUCAGGUAGGGAUACCCGCUGAACUUAAGC
rnacentral:misc_RNA from 1 species